UACGUAGGGUGCAAGCGUUGUCCGGAAUCAUUGGGCGUAAAGCGCGCGUAGGUGGUCAUGUAAGUCCGCUGUGAAAGUCAAAGGCUCAACCUUUGAAAAGCCGUGGAUACUGCAUGACUAGAGUACGGAAGAGGCGAGUGGAAUUCCUGGUGUAGCGGUGGAAUGCGCAGAUAUCAGGAGGAACACCAAUAGCGAAAGGGCAGCUCGCUGGGACGUUACUGACACUGAGGCGCGAAAGCGUGGGGGAGCGAACAG
rnacentral:rRNA from 1 species